rnacentral:rRNA from 1 species
UACGUAGGUGGCAAGCGUUGUCCGGAUUUAUUGGGUUUAAAGGGUGCGUAGGUGGGCAGGUAAGUCAGUGGUGAAAUCUCCGGGCUUAACCCGGAAACUGCCAUUGAUACUAUUUGUCUUGAAUACUGUGGAGGUCAGCGGAAUAUGUCAUGUAGCGGUGAAAUGCUUAGAUAUGACAUAGAACACCAAUUGCGAAGGCAGCUGGCUACACAAAUAUUGACACUGAGGCACGAAAGCGUGGGGAUCAAACAGG